rnacentral:rRNA from 1 species
UGGAGGGGAGAGUGGCGAACGGGUGAGUAACACGUAGGUGACCUGCCUCGAAGACGAGGAUAACCGCUGGAAACGGUGGCUAAUACUCGAUGGUCUCGAUAAUUCGGUUUAUCGAGUAAAGGCUCUGGCGCUUUGAGAGGGACUGCGUGCCAUCAGCUAGUUGGUAGGGUAACGGCCUACCAAGGCGAAGACGGGUAGGGGGCGUGAGAGCGUGACCCCCCACACUGGCACUGGGACACGGGCCAGACUCCUACGGGAGGCAGCAGUGAGGAAUAUUGCGCAAUGAGCGAAAGCUAGACGCAGCAACGCCGCGUGGGUGAUGAAGGCCUUCGGGUCGUAAAACCCUUUUCUGGGGGAAGAGUAAGGACGGUACCCCAGGAAUAAGCCUCGGCUAACUAUGUGCCAGCAGCCGCGGUAAUACAUAGGAGGCAAGCGUUAUCCGGAUUUACUGGGCGUAAAGAGCGUUGAGGCGGCUUCGUAAGUUGGACGUGAAAGCUCCCGGCUUAACUGGGAGAGGCCGUUCAAUACUGCGGGGCUUUGAGGGCAGCAGAGGGGGGUUGAAUUUCCGGUGUAGUGGUGAAAUGCGUAGAUAUCGGAAGGGAACACCCAGUUGGCGAAGGUGGCCCCCUUGGGUUGUCCUGACGCUGAAGGCGAAAGCUAGGGGGAGCGAACGGGGAUUAGAAACCCCGGUAGUCUUAGCCGUAAACGAUGGAUACUAGGUUGUAGGAGGUUAAAAUUCCUUCUGUGCCGGGAGCUAAGGCGUUAAAGUAUCCCGCCCUGGGGAGUACGUUCGCAAGGCUAAACCUCAAAGGAAUUGACGGGGGCCCGCACAACAAGCGGAGCCGUGUGGUUUAAUUUGAUGCAACACGAAGAACCUUACCAGGGCUUGACAUGUAGGUAGUAGUGAAGCGAAAGCGGAACGAUCCUUCGGGAAGCCUACACAGGUGUUGCAUGGCUGUCGUCAGCUCGUGCCGUGAGGUGUUAGGUUAAGUCCU